AUUGAACGCUGGCGGCAGGCCUACCACAUGCAAGUCGAACGAGUGGCGGACGGGUGAGUAAUGUCUGGGAAACUGCCUGAUGGAGGGGGAUAACUACUGGAAACGGUAGCUAAUACCGCAUACCAUCAGAUGUGCCCAGCUGGGAGUAGCUAGUUGGGGGGGUAACGGCGCACCAAGGCGACGACCCCUCUCUGGUCUGAGAGGAUGACCAGCAACACUGGAACUGAGACACGGUCCAGACUCCUACGGGAGGCAGCAGUGGGGAAUAUUGCACAAGGGGCGAAAGCCUGAUGCAGCCAUGCCGCGUGUAUGAAGAAGGCCUUCGGGUUGUAAAGUACUUUCAGCGGGGAGGCGUUACCCGCAGAAGAAGCACCGGCUAACUCCGUGCCAGCAGCCGCGGUAAUUC
rnacentral:rRNA from 1 species